CCUUUAUUAUGGCUCAGGACGAACGCUGGCGGCGCGCCUAACACCUGCAAGUCGAGCGAGCGAGAGAGAGCUUACUUUCUCGAGCGAGUGGCGAACGGGUGAGUAACGCGUGAGGAACCUGCCUCAAAGAGGGGGACAACAGUUGGAAACGACUGCUAAUACGGCAUAAGCCCACGGCUCGGCAUCGAGCAGAGGGAAAAGGAGCAAUCCGCUUUGAGAUGGCCUCGCGUCCGAUUAGCUAGUUGGUGAGGUAACGGCCCACCAAGGCGACGAUCGGUAGCCGGACUGAGAGGUUGAACGGCCACAUUGGGACUGAGACACGGCCCAGACUCCUACGGGAGGCAGCAGUGGGGAAUAUUGCACAAUGGGGGAAACCCUGAUGCAGCGACGCCGCGUGGAGGAAGAAGGUCUUCGGAUUGUAAACUCCUGUUGUUGAGGAAGAUAAUGACGGUACUCAACAAGGAAGUGACGGCUAACUACGUGCCAGCAGCCGCGGUAAAACGUAGGUCACAAGCGUUGUCCGGAAUUACUGGGUGUAAAGGGAGCGCAGGCGGGAAGACAAGUUGGAAGUGAAAUCCAUGGGCUCAACCCAUGAACUGCUUUCAAAACUGUUUUUCUUGAGUAGUGCAGAGGUAGGCGGAAUUCCCGGUGUAGCGGUGGAAUGCGUAGAUAUCGGGAGGAACACCAGUGGCGAAGGCGGCCUACUGGGCACCAACUGACGCUGAGGCUCGAAAGUGUGGGUAGCAAACAGGAUUAGAUACCCUGGUAGUCCACACUGUAAACGAUGAUUACUAGGUGUUGGAGGAUUGACCCCUUCAGUGCCGCAGUUAACACAGUAAGUAAUCCACCUGGGGAGUACGACCGCAAGGUUGCAACUCAAAUGAAUUGAC
rnacentral:rRNA from 1 species